rnacentral:rRNA from 1 species
CCUACGGGAGGCAGCAGUGGGGAAUUUUGGACAAUGGGCGCAAGCCUGAUCCAGCUAUUCCGCGUGUGGGAUGACGGCCUUCGGGUUGUAAACCACUUUUGUAGAGAACGAAAAGUCUGUUGAUAAUACCGAUAGAUGAUGACGGUACUCUAAGAAUAAGCACCGGCUAACUACGUGCCAGCAGCCGCGGUAAUACGUAGGGAGCGAGCGUUAAUCGGAAUUACUGGGCGUAAAGGGUGUGCAGGCGGUUUUGCAAGAUGGAAGUGAAAGCCCCGGGCGUAACCUGGGAAAGACAUACAUGACAG